CUUCAACACGUGGCAGAAGAUGUGCAUGUGGCGCAGAAUGCGUUAGGCGGAAGUGGAAGUUGAUUAAAAACAAGGACCUCCAAAUGAUCGUGAAGAAGAACAAUGUCCUGCAGCUGCAUGUUGAUGCAGCCAGUGAGCACAGCGUCGGCCCCAAACAGAGCCGCUCUGCAGGGUCCAAAGAGACCGUUUACCUGAUGGCGUCACAGUUCCUGGUCUGCCUGCAGGCCUGCCAGACUUCCACGGCUGCAUCCGCCAAGCGACGAUCAACCGCAGACCUGCCAUGCUGUCCAAACCCCUCGCUGUGUGUGGAGCCGUGGGGACGCAGGGCUGCCCACACAUGUAAACCCAAUACACAGUCUUAUCUUCACAUUCCCAAACUGACAAUUACUGGUGAUGGGUGUCAGGUUACUGUAGCUAAUUUAAAAUAUAUAUUAAUAUUUAUUUUCUAUUUUCAGAAAAAAUUAUAUUUUACAGUUUGUUGUUGCAAUAUUACUGGUUUGUUAUUGUACUACAGGGUGCUAUAACAACUGCAUAGAGAUGCACUGAUACAAGUGACUGCUACAAGAUAUCAAAUAUCAACUCUAAAAUCUAAAGAUAAUUCUGAAAUGUGAAGUUUAUUGUCAAUAAAGGCAACACUGCUUGAAUUUUCUUGCUUUUGAAAGCAAAUGGUGAAAAGUAAAUGUCAAUCGUCCAAACACAUUUUCUGGAUCUGCAUUAUAUAUUAAAGUAAAUGAUGUAUACAGUUGUGUAUCGUGUAUCUCUAGCAGAGAAUGUUAAGAAUACGUACUGAGUGAAAACACUGUGAAAACUGAUGUAUGAGCAACGUCCUCAAGCAGUGCAGAUGGGCAAUGACAUUUGGGAAUAUCAGACUCAGUGAUGCAAAGAUGAAUACAUUUACCAUAUAACACCAAAAAGGUUAAAAAGAAUAUAACAUUAGGGUUGCGUUGCACCAAAAAGGAUUAAUGAAUCUACGAUUAGUACUAAUCAGAGUUUAGCCAAACUAGAUAUUAGGAAAUACAUACAUUACAUUACUCAUGAUGGCUCUGCAGAGGUCUAAUUUCUCCUCCGAGAAAAACUUAGACUGCCUGUUGGCCCAAUAUUCCUGUUCAGCUCCACAACAGUUUCCUUGAUGAACCAAUAAUAUCUUGAAUGAAAAUCAGCAGCAGCAUUAUAAAAUCUGUCCCUUAACUUUCUUCGAGGAACUUGAUUAUUUUUGCUCAAUCCCUCUCAAAAGUUUUGGUGCAACGGAAUUGAAUAUUAUCAAGGUUUAGAGUAAAAACUAAACUGAUGUUAAAAGAGAGGUUUGAAUAUAUCUCUUUAAGCUGGUCUAAAUGAUUGUUACAUGAUUUUGAAGGUACAUUUACCAUGCCUAGUUAACACAUCAGUUAUCAAAGGAUGAUCACAUAGCCUAAAUGUGAUGUACAGAUACUUCAAACAUACAGUAGUUUAGUUUAUGGGAAUUUUACUGCCCCCCCCCCUCCCCACACACACAAACAAACAAACAAAUAUUGUAGUUUUUACCUCCACUGCAUUUGUCAGACAGGAUUAGUUACAUGUGUUUUUGUCCCAUUCCUGUCCAGUGAAAACCAAAAAUCUCCAGAUGUAUUGAUUUUGAAUGUUUUUUGUAAGCUGAAGGAUGAAGUGUUCCUUUAUAUGUUGAAAAAAUAAUCUUACUAUUCAAAUAUUUUUAAAAGCUCUUGAAUCGGCUAGAAAAUGCAUCACAGUGAAGUUAACAGCGCUUUUUUCUGAGUUCGCUCAUGAAAAGUAGACUUUUUAGAGAUAUGUGGUUCUCACAAGAGCGAACUCUACAAAUAUGACCUUAUAGAAUAGGCAUUGCUACAAAAACAGUAUAUAAGAGUUAAAAUAUCUAAAGCAGUAAUAUAAUACAUUACUUUGACUUGCAAUGGAAUAUUUUCACUGUGUGGUAUUAGUACUUGUACUUCACUAAAGGAUCUGAAUAUUUCCACCACUGGUAUUUACACACAAAAGGGAGAUUAGAGAGGGAGAUCAGUCAUUGGCUGUUGUUGCUUGUGUUUAAGGGACUUAACGUUCUUUUCUCUUCUACAGUAAGGGUGCAAAGCAAAAACUCAACUAUCAGUUAGGUAGAA